rnacentral:tRNA from 1 species
GCCGCCUUAGCUCAGUUGGCAGAGCGUCGCUCUCGUAAAGCGAAGGUCUCGGGUUCGAUUCCCGAAGGCGGCUCAA